rnacentral:tRNA from 1 species
UGUCCAGGUUAGCCUAGUGGACAUGGUAUCUGCCCGGUAAGCGGAACACUGUGGGUUCGAUUCCCAUCCCUGGUAA